GACGAACGCUGGCGGCGCGCCUAACACAUGCAAGUCGAACGGAGCUGAGAGGAGCUUGCUUUUCUUAGCUUAGUGGCGAACGGGUGAGUAACGCGUGAGUAACCUGCCCUGGAGUGGGGGACAACAGUUGGAAACGACUGCUAAUACCGCAUAAGCCCACGGUACCGCAUGGUACUGAGGGAAAAGGAUUUAUUCGCUCUAGGAUGGACUCGCGUCCAAUUAGCUAGUUGGUGAGGUAACGGCCCACCAAGGCGACGAUUGGUAGCCGGACUGAGAGGUUGAACGGCCACAUUGGGACUGAGACACGGCCCAGACUCCUACGGGAGGCAGCAGUGGGGGAUAUUGCACAAUGGGGGAAACCCUGAUGCAGCGACGCCGCGUGGAGGAAGAAGGUUUUCGGAUUGUAAACUCCUGUCGUUAGGGACGAUAAUGACGGUACCUAACAAGAAAGCACCGGCUAACUACGUGCCAGCCGCCGCCGUAA
rnacentral:rRNA from 1 species